rnacentral:rRNA from 1 species
CCUACGGGAGGCAGCAGUGAGGAAUAUUGGUCAAUGGGCGGAAGCCUGAACCAGCCAAGUAGCGUGCGGGAUGACGGCUCUACGGGUCGUAAACCGCUUUUGCACGGGGAUAACACCCUCCACGUGUGGCGGUCUGCAGGUACCGUGCGAAUAAGGGCCGGCUAAUUCCGUGCCAGCAGCCGCGGUAAUACGGAGGGUCCGAGCGUUAUCCGGAUUCAUUGGGCUUAAAGGGGGCGUAGGCGGUCGUUCAAGUCAGCUGUAAAAUCGCGCGGCUCAACCCGGCCCCGCAGUUGAAACUGGACGACUUGAGUUCACAACAGGCAGGCGGAAUGCGUGGUGUAGCGGUGAAAUGCAUAGAGAUCACGAGGAACCCCGAUUGCGAAGGCAGCCUGCCGGGGUGCGACUGACGCUGAGGCACGAAGGUGCGGGUAGCAAACAGGAUUAGAUACCCGAGUAGUC